rnacentral:lncRNA from 1 species
AUUUGAAGUACAGGUGCUGAUUUCUGAAUUUGAAAUGUAACGUUUGUUGAAAUGUUUUAAAAAUUCAUUUUGUCUGUUGUAGUGUUUAUGACAUUGCCAAGAGAAAGAGAACAUUCAGGCUAAAAUAGGUCCUGUUCAGUCACAGUGAAACGUGGUCAGAAACAACAGGGCAAGGUCUCCGUCUGGAACAAAUGGGGAGAAGACCCCUGUGAGUUUCAUCAUAGUAUGAAAGAUGACGUUUAUUUUAAGCACAGAUAGUAACAUCCUGAAGUUUCCAUCUAUGAAUGAUAUAGUCUGGCAAUAAUAGAAGAAAUAACUUUUUCCCGAUUAGAACUGCUAGGAAAACUGUAACUUCACUUUGAACUGCUGCGUAGUUUGAACUAUCAAAUUCCAAAUUAAAGAAGUUUUAAAAUUUUGU